rnacentral:tRNA from 1 species
GGGACUUUAGCUCAGUUGGUUAGAGCAUCCGACUCAUAAUCGGCAGGUCCACGGUUCAAGUCCGUGAAGUCCCACCA